rnacentral:rRNA from 1 species
GACGAACGCUGGCGGCGUGCUUAACACAUGCAAGUCGAACGGAAAGGCCUGCUUUCCCUUGUGGAUUGCGGGUACUCGAGUGGCGAACGGGUGAGUAACACGUGAGUGAUCUGCCCCCAACUUGGGUAGAAGCCUGGGAAACUGGGUCUAAUUCCCGAUAGGACUGCAGGGUGGUGCCUGUGGUGGAAAACGAUUUUCUAGUGGUUGGGGAUGAGCUCGCGGCCUAUCAGCUUGUUGGUGGGGUAAUGGCCUACCAAGGCGGCGACGGGUAGCCGGCCUGGGAGGGUGGACGGCCACAUUGGGACUGAGAUACGGCCCAGACUCCUACGGGAGGCAGCAGUGGGGAAUAUUGCACAAUGGGCGGAAGCCUGAUGCAGCGACGCCGCGUGGGGGAUGACGGCCUUCGGGCUGUAAACUCCUUUCGACCGCGAGGAAGCCACCUGGUUGGAAGGGUGGUGACGGUAGUGGUAGAAGAAGCACCGGCUAACUACGUG